rnacentral:rRNA from 1 species
UACGUAGGGGGCGAGCGUUACCCGGAUUUACUGGGCGUAAAGCGCGUGUAGGCGGCUGGUCAAGCGUGGUGUGAAAUCUCCGGGCUCAACCCGGAAACUGCAUUGCGAACUGACCUGGCUGGAGUGCAGGAGAGGGCAGCGGAAUUCCCGGUGUAGCGGUGAAAUGCGUAGAUAUCUGGAGGAACACCGGUGGCGAAGGCGACAUCCUGGACCGGUAUUGACGCUGAGGCGCGAAAGCCAGGGGAGCAAACGGG